rnacentral:rRNA from 1 species
UACGAAGGGGGCUAGCGUUGUUCGGAAUUACUGGGCGUAAAGGGCGCGUAGGCGGUCAGCACAAGUCAGUUGUGAAAUCUCCGGGCUUAACUCGGAAAGGUCAACUGAUACUGUGCGACUAGAGUGCAGAAGGGGCAACUGGAAUUCUCGGUGUAGCGGUGAAAUGCGUAGAUAUCGAGAGGAACACCUGCGGCGAAGGCGGGUUGCUGGGCUGACACUGACGCUGAUGCGCGAAAGCCAGGGGAGCGAACGGG